rnacentral:rRNA from 1 species
UACGAAGGGGGCAAGCGUUGUUCGGAAUUAUUGGGCGUAAAGGGAGCGUAGGCGGUUCGGCAAGUCUUUAGUGAAAUCUCUGGGCUCAACUCAGAGUCUGCUGGAGAAACUGCCGGGCUGGAGUAUGGGAGAGGUGAGUGGAAUUCCCGGUGUAGCGGUGAAAUGCGCAGAGAUCGGGAGGAACACCAAUGGCGAAAGCAGGUGCCUGGACUAUUACUGACACUCAGCUGCGAAAGCUAGGGGAGCAAACAGG